AUGGGUCAGGUGGUACCUGGUCGGCGCGGUUUCCCAAGCCGACGCUGCUCGAUGACCCCAUCUGUUCUUAUCCAUUUGUUCACCACCCAUUCGUCCCGUCCAGCCAUAGCGCUCGCCGCCCUCGAGAGCUUCUUCCACGCCGUCUUGCCCGAGGCCGUCGGUGCCGUCGUCGACUGCGUGCUCGCCUCCUUCCCCUCCUCCACCCCGCUCUCCGAGCUCUUCUGCUCCCUCCGCCGCUCUUUCCCCAAGGCACUGCUCCCCGACCACUGUGCGCGACGACGGCCACGGCCAUGUUGCCGCCUUCUGCCAUUUGCUCCCCCGCCUCGGCUACCCCAAGGACGCCCUGUGCGCGCUGGUCGUGAGGGCCUCCCCGCCGCUCCUGAUGCCCAGCCUAGCCGGCUCUAG
rnacentral:rRNA from 1 species